AUUUUCUGCCACCGAAUACAUUAGCAUGGGAUAAUGGAAUAGGACCCUGUCCUCCUUUUUUCAGUUGGUUAAUUCACAAGAGAGGAACAGGGUAAUGAUUAAUAGGGAUAGUUGGGGGCAUUAAUAUUUAAUUGUCAGAGGUGAAAUUCUUGCGAGCUGAGCCCAUCGC
rnacentral:rRNA from 1 species